UCUACAAGUCAUAACCAUAUAUCUAAAGGUGCAUGUGUCUUAUUAACUCUGUUUUCUCCUAGAGCUCCAGGAAGAAAUCAGAGCCAACGUGGAACAGGCUGUCCAGCACCGUCUGUGAUUUGGGGGGCGCGUCAUAAAUACAAAGGGAAGGGAAACAACCUUUAUGUAUGCAGUAAUAUAAAAUCCCUCUUGGCCAGAAGCACAG